UACAGAGGUCUCAAGCGUUGUUCGGAUUCAUUGGGCGUAAAGGGUGCGUAGGUGGCGCGUUAAGUCAGGUGUGAAAUUUCGGAGCUUAACUCCGAAACUGCAUUUGAUACUGGCGUUGCUUGAGGACUGGAGAGGAGAGACUGGAAUUCAUGGUGUAGCAGUGAAAUGCGUAGAGAUCAUGAGGAAGACCAGUGGCGAAGGCGGGUCUCUGGACAGUUCCUGACACUGAGGCACGAAGGCCAGGGAGCAAACGGG
rnacentral:rRNA from 1 species